UACGUAGGAUGCAAGCGUUAUCCGGAAUUACUGGGCGUAAAGCGUGUGUAGGUGGUCUUUUAAGUUAAAUGUUAAAUCUACAGGCUCAACUUGUAGACCGCAUUUAAUACUGGGAGGCUUGAGGAUGGAAGAGGUAAGCGGAAUUAGUGGUGGAGCGGUGAAAUGCGUAGAUAUCACUAAGAACACCAAUGGCGAAGGCAGCUUACUGGGCCAUUCCUGACACUGAGACACGAAAGCGUGGGGAG
rnacentral:rRNA from 1 species